UGUUGCGAUCAUACCAGCUAUAAUGCACUGGAUCCCAUCAGAACUCCGCAGUUAGGCAUGCUUAGGCGAGAGUAGUACUGGUAUGGGUCACGUCCUGGGAAGUCCUCGUGUUGCACCCC
rnacentral:rRNA from 1 species